rnacentral:rRNA from 1 species
AUGCGUCUUAUAUGUGAUGGGUGUGUUCCCAUCAAGUCGAUGGUGGGGUUGAUGUGCCCGUCGAUUCGUGAUCCGCUGGCUGAGCUCAUAUUCUCAAUGGCGGACUGGUGUUCUAUGUUAGUCGGAGCCAUUGUAUGUGGUUGUGCAGUUGCUGAUGCACAGGAGGCGUCCGUGGUGUCAGUUCUUCAUCGUCCAUGCUUAUCUUCUAUAUGCUCUAGCAGCCAGGUGACUACAUAUUACCUUUUCUAUCAAUUCGACCACCUUCUCCUUCUUCACGAGGAUCGGCGGGUCAACAUCGAUGCCCAUGUUAGCGGCAGUGCCCGCUAUGAUUCUCAUGGCGGACUCGAUGGUUUUGCAGUUCAAGUUAGGCAACUUCUCCUGGGCGAUCGUGCGUACUUGGUCGCUGUGGCUCCUUUGAGCCUUUUUCGACGCCUGGGAAUCAGAAUUAAUAAAAUGGAGAUAAGGAACCAUGUAGUUCACUGA